rnacentral:rRNA from 1 species
UGGGGAAUUUUGGACAAUGGGCGCAAGCCUGAUCCAGCCAUGCCGCGUGCGGGAAGAAGGCCUUCGGGUUGUAAACCGCUUUUGUCAGGGAAGAAAUCUUCUGAGUUAAUACCUCGGGAGGAUGACGGUACCUGAAGAAUAAGCACCGGCUAACUACGUGCCAGCAGCCGCGGUAAUACGUAGGGUGCAAGCGUUAAUCGGAAUUACUGGGCGUAAAGCGUGCGCAGGCGGUUUUGUAAGACAGAGGUGAAAUCCCCGGGCUCAACCUGGGAACUGCCUUUGUGACUGCAAGGCUUGAGUGCGGCAGAGGGGGAUGGAAUUCCGCGUGUAGCAGUGAAAUGCGUAGAUAUGCGGAGGAACACCGAUGGCGAAGGCCAAUCCCCUGGGCCUGCACUGACGCUCAUGCACGAAAGCGUGGGGAGCAAAACAGGAUUAGAUACCCUGGUAGUCCACGCCCUAAAACGAUGUCAACUGGUUGUUGGGAAGGUUCCUUCUCAGUAACGUAGCUAACGCGUGAAGUUGACCGCCU